rnacentral:rRNA from 1 species
AUUGAACGCUGGCGGCAGGCCUAACACAUGCAAGUCGAGCGGAGCGGCGGACGGGUGAGUAAUACCUGGGAAUCUGCCUGGUAGUGGGGGAUAACGUCCGGAAACGGGCGCUAAUACCGCAUACUAUCAGAUGAGGCUAGGUCGGAUUAGCUAGUUGGUGGGGUAAAGGCCUACCAAGGCGACGAUCCGUAACUGGACUGAGAGGAUGAUCAGUCACACUGUAAAUGAGACACGGUCCAGACUCCGACGGGAGGCACCAGUGGGGAAUAUUGGACAAUGGGCGGAAGCCUGAUCCAGCCAUGCCGCGUGUGUGAAGAAGGUCUUCGGAUUGUAAAGCACUUUAAUUUGCGAGGCGUUACCAACAGAAUAAGCACCGGCUAACUUCGUGCCAGCCGCCGCGGUAAUAC